rnacentral:rRNA from 1 species
AAUGAACGCUGGCGGCGCGCCUAAUACAUGCAAGUCGAGCGAGAAGACGUAGCAAUACGUUUGUAAAGCGGCGAACGGGUGAGGAAUGCAUGGGUAACCUACCCUCGAGUGGGGAAUAACUAGCCGAAAGGUUAGCUAAUACCGCGUACGCUUCUUGGACUUCGGUUCAGGGAGGAAAGCGAUGCCGAGGGUAUCGCGCUCUUGGAUGGGCUCAUGUCCUAUCAGCUUGNGGUGAGGUAACGGCUCACCAAGGCUUCGACGGGUAGCUGGUCUGAGAGGACGAUCAGCCACACUGGCACUGCGACACGGGCCAGACUCCUACGGGAGGCAGCAGUAAGGAAUAAUUGCGCAAUGGGCGAAAGCCUGACGCAGCGACGCCGCGUGGGGGAU